AGGCGCUGGGGGGAACGACACGCAGAACCGAGAGAUGAGUAAUGGAGCUCAGAGACAACGCAUAGAUGGCAGCCGGCGUCACUCAGCAGCUGAACUCACUGAAGUGAAUCCUCUUCUUCAUCUUCUCCCACACUUUGUAUUUCAGGGAGCCGAUGUGUUUAGCCACGUCCACGAGUGAUCCCGGCCUCAGAUACGGGUCCACUGGAACUCUCAAAACCCUGAAAUAUGGAGUUGGUGAGGAUUCCCAGCUCGCUCUUCAUGUCCUCAAUACUCUGGUUAAUCAUCCCCGUCUUGUGAUCCACCUCUGCCUUUAAAAGACCCAGUCGGGCCUCUUCUUCCUCCUUCAGAAACUGACGCAUCGCAUCAAAUUCCUCUUUUAUUUGCUUCUCUGUGUGUUCUGCUUGCAUCUAGAGAGGGGGGGGUUGGGGAAGAAAAACAAAUCAGUUAUUUUUUUCCUGUUCUGUUGGCACAAGGGGUUGAUCCAUGAGGCAGUAGAGUUGUGUGUUUUGGAUGUUGGUGCAGGGUACCUUAAUAUGCUCUGCCGUGUGCUCGCAGAGAGCGUGAGCCUUCUUGUAUAGUGGCAGCUUCUCUUUUAGAGCCAACAGUGCACUUUUGAGUUCCGCCUAGAAGGUCAGUCACAAGGCAUCAACACUUUUAAGAAAGGGUCACACUGGCAUGAUACUGUCCAAGCCGUCCGCAACAAUGCGGGCCUUUCAGCUGCACACACUGUUCCGCGGCCGCAGUUCGCCCUGCAAGUUAAGCUGCACAAUGCGGCCAGAAAUUACAUUGUUGAACGUACAGUGCUGAGCCCUAAUGUCAAUGCAACGUCAGAGGGGGGGAACUUAAGAGGAUAGAACUUAAGACGACCUCUGAUGGCCUUAAUGGAAUCGGGGUUCCUAGGAUUCUGUUAAAGAAGGCAUAAGUCAGAGCUGGGUGACUGUGGCGACGGCGUCACAUUUAGGAUACCUACUGGGGAGUCUUGUUUCAACAACCUCAGGGGUUUUAGGUGUGGCCCACCAGAAAUAUGAUUCUAUAAUUAGAGUAUGAUUGACUGCUGCCCAGAGCUUCAAACAUGUUACUGUUAUGGGGUACGGGAGGAUUACGGGGGCAGCAAGGUUGUAUUCCCUGGGCUGGAAAAUAAUAUCACAACAAUAAAUUCCAAUGGCAGACGUGUUGAGCAUGCCUCUAACCCUAACGCAAACAACCACUUGAAAUGACAAUAAGCAAUACCUAUAUCCAUUUAAUAAAUUUACAUAUGUGUAAAUCAA